rnacentral:rRNA from 1 species
CGCUGGCGGCGUGCCUAACACAUGCAAGCCGAACGAGGUCCAAGGAAGCUUGCUUCCUGAAGACCUAGUGGCGAACGGGUGAGUAACACGUGAGAAACCUGCCUCGGAGUGGGGAAUAACUCGGGGAAACUCGAGCUAAUACCGCAUACCUUCACAUGAUCGCAUGGUCGAGUGAAGAAAGAAUUUCGCUCUGAGAGGGUCUCGCGGCCUAUCAGCUUGUUGGUGGGUAACGGCCUACCAAGGCAACGACGGGUAGCUGGUUUGAGAGAACGAUCAGCCACACUGGGACUGAGACACGGCCCAGACUCCUACGGGAGGCAGCAGUGGGGAAUCUUGCGCAAUGGGCGAAAGCCUGACGCAGCAACGCCGCGUGCGGGAUGACGGCCUUCGUGGUUGUAAACCGCUUUCAGCAGGGACGAAAAUGACGGUACCUGCAGAAGAAGCCCCGGCUAACUACGUG